AGCAGCCGCGGUAAUUCCAGCUCCAAUAGCGUAUAUUAAAGUUGUUGCAGUUAAAAAGCUCGUAGUUGAAUUUCGGGGUCAGUAGGUCGGUCGUGCCACUGGUAUGAACUGGUCUCACUGAUUCCUCCCUCUUGUAGAACCGUGAUGCCAUUAAUUUGGUGUUGCGGGGAAACAGGACUGUUACUUUGAAAAAAUUAGAGUGUUUAAAGCAAGCUAACGCUUGAAUACAUUAGCAUGGAAUAAUGAAAUAGGACGUCGAUCUUAUUUUGUUGGUUUCUAGGGUUGACGUAAUGAUUAAUAGGGAUAGUUGGGGGCAUUAGUAUUCAAUUGUCAGAGGUGAAAUUCUUGGAUUUAUUGAAGACUAACUACUGCGAAAGCAUUUGCCAAGGAUGUUUUCAUUAAUCAAGAACGAAAGUUAGGGGAUCGAAGACGAUCAGAUACCGUCGUAGUCUUAACCAUAAACUAUGCCGACUAGGGAUCGGAUGAUGUUAAUUUUUAAUGACUCAUUCAGCGCCUUACG
rnacentral:rRNA from 1 species